UAGGGAAUCUUCGGCAAUGGGCGAAAGCCUGACCGAGCAACGCCGCGUGUAUGAUGAAGGCCUUCGGGUUGUAAAAUUCUGUUAUAAGGGAAGAAUGGCUCUAGUAGGAAAUGGCUAGAGGGUGACGGUACCUUAUGAGAAAGCCACGGCUAACUACGUGCCAGCAGCCGCGGUAAUACGUAGGUGGCGAGCGUUAUACGGAAUUAUUGGGCGUAAAGAGCGCGCAGGUGGUUGAUUAAGUCUGAUGUGAAAGCCCACGGCUUAACCGUGGAGGGUCAUUGGAAACUGGUCAACUUGAGUGCAGAAGAGGGAAGUGGAAUUCCAUGUGUAGCUGUGAAAAGCGUAGAGAUAUGGAGGAACACCAGUGGCGAAGGCGGCUUCCUGGUCUGUAACUGACACUGAGGCGCGAAAGCGUGGGGAGCAAACA
rnacentral:rRNA from 1 species